rnacentral:rRNA from 1 species
GCUCGCGCAUUGGGUGUCAGUCAUACUACACUCUACCAGAAACUCAAGCUUCACAAGAUUAGGAGGCACUCCAAUCGUUUGAAGCCAAGCUUGAAAGAAAAGAAUAAAAGAGAAAGGAUCAAGUUUUGUAUGUUGAUGCUUGAUGAGACAACUUUAGCAGCUACAAGACCUAAAUUCAUCAGUAUGCACAACAUUGUGCAUAUUGACGAAAAGUGGUUCUAUAUGACAAAAAUGAACAGAAACUACUACUUCCUCCCUCAUGAAGAUGACCCGGUCAGAACCAUUCGGAACAAGAACUGUAUUGGCAAAGUAAUGUUCCUGACCGUUGUUGCUCGACCCAGAUAUGAUGCUGAAGGCAAUGUAACAUUCUCAGGAAAAAUUGGUGUCUGGCCUUUCGUCCAAGAGAUUCCAGCUGCUAGAAGAAGUGAAAAUAGAGAAAGAGGGACCAUGGAAAUCAAGAACGUCACUGUGAACCGACACGUAAUGUGGCAGUAU